UUGUGUUGUUUUUCUGUGAUUCUGCUCUGAAGUAUUAUUUCGGAAGUUUAUAUAUUGUGAAUUUACUUGACUGUUGGAUUCUGAUGUCAUUUCAGCUGCCUGUUUAAAUCUUCGCUUUUUUCGAGGGGUGAUUGAAUUCAUGGAAAACCCAUACGGAUCACCCCUUCAACUUUGUUCAAAUGUCAAAAAGCAAGUUAAAAACAAGCCAUAAAUAAAUUAACUGAUUAAAUAGUGUUCUGAAAAAAAGAUUUCCAGAAGGCGGUUGACAUUCCGAACAAAUUUUUUGGUGAGGAUGCUGGUUUUCGUAAUUUGAAGCUCCUGGAAUCAGGUCAUGAUAGUGACGGCUAUGAAAAUACAGAGAGAAACAAUAUAGAUUUGAGUGAAGAUCCAGCUGUAAAUUUUGGACCAAAAGAAGAUUUUACAUUCGUUCAUUUCGUACACAACAUUUAUCGAACCCGACGUACAAAGAGAUGGGAUGUGAGAUGGACAAUGGAGCAGACUGCGGAUAUGACCGAUAUCAUACAUCCAAAAGA